AUCCAUUCCCUGGAAUCCCUGCGACCCUGUCCUCCAGUCUCCGAACACCGGCGCUUCCUCCCCACCGCCGCGAUCUGCCACACUUUUUCAACUGCUUCGCCGGACCACCUCCCCCCUUUUUCCGCCGAGAUAUGCCCCUCUCAUCUCCACACCGGCCCCACAUUUCCCUUCACCGAUCUGCGAUCUGCCUUCCACCAUCGCCGCUUCCUUUCCCCACAGCGAUCUACACCCUCGCAUCUCUAUAUCGGUUCUCCGCGCCGACCAUCAGAUAUGCCACCUCCAUUUCCUUCCUCCAGCGAUUCGCCCCAUCGGCCCCAGCCCGUCACCAAGCCACGACCAUGGUAAGGUUUUUUUUGUAAGUUUUCUUUUUCCCCUCUCCCCGCGCCCCUAGAUCCCCAAAUCCUCACCGCCUCAUUGCGACUUCCGGCGACCACGGUAGCCAUGGCCGCCGAUCUGCCCCUCCCACCACCAGAAAACCAGAAAUCGAUCUGCCACCUCCCUUCCCCCAUAUGGUAAGUAUUAAAUGUUUGACUUAUUUUUCUUCUUUUUUCAGAAUUUUGGAAAGAUUUUUAACACUGGAAACUUAAACCCUAGAUUUUUAUGUUAAUUAAUUUUCGGUUGCUGCACAUUAUGUAAAUAUAGAAUGGUUAUAAACUUUAGAAAGAAUUUUUUUUGGAAAGAAUUUUUUCGAAGGAAACUUAAACCCUAAAUUUUCAUCUAUAAAUUCAUUAGUUUGAAUUAUUAACGAUGCAGCAGACGCAAGGUAACCUUCUUCUUCUUUUGUUGUCUUUCUUUUCUUUUGCAUUAACGCGGCAAUACCUUCUUCUUAUUUUUCUUCUUUUUUCCAGAUUUUUGGUUCUAGGUGCUUGGUCCAGAACCGCCGCUCGCCAGCCGCUGUGUUGCACUCGCCCACUCCUAUUCUCACUUCAACUGUAAGUUUUCCAAAUUCUCUCACCCUCCAUUUCAGUUAUGUCAACAGAUUGUUUGCUGGUGUUUCCACUUCAUAUUCCCUUUUCUUUAUGUUACCAAGUUGGAUGGGUUCAAAUCCUUUAUUGGCUCUGCUGUUAUAGCUACUGAAUUUAUCGAUAUUUCUGUUGGAGAUUAACUAAUUAGCUGCAUCAGUAAAUGGGCAUCUGUAUGGUGUAAGCUAAAAACUUUCGCUGCAUUAAUCACCACAAUUUUAAUCUAAUCCUUUAUUGUUGCAUUUGUGUUUUGAUUAUAAUUUAUGAAAUGACGGUGUAAGUUUGAAUCUCUUGAGGAUUACCAAGUGAAGAUGGAAUGAAUGUGUUUGAUCCCCACCCUUUUUUUUAGUUUUCUAAUUAAUCUUAUCUUUUGGACUUUUGGUUGCUUACCUCAAUUCAAGAUGUGGGAAUGUUUCAUAUUCAUAUGCUUUUAUUUACAUUUCUGAGUUAAUUUACAGCCAACUAAAAGAAGUUGUUUUGUUAAGCAAUCGAAAGUAUUUGUUCUGAUCUUUACUGGGGUGGGAACAGGGGGGGUUUUAGAGCAUGUCGUUAAUAAUUGUAAUGAGUCUGGAACAGGCGUUUUGAAAUUAUAAGUGGACUUCAUGGUCUAUAUUUGUGCUGUAGAAACUAUAUUUGUUACAUGCUUCUCAGAAAUAUAGAUCCUUCAAACGAGCUUUGCAAUGGCACAAGGAUGAUAGUCACCAAACUUGGGAAGGUUAAUUACCAGUGUAAUCCUCAAUAAUCCAAUUAUGACAUGACGUUUUUGGCUAUUGUGGGAGCCUCUCUCUAGGUCAACACCCAGUACAACUACGAGAGAUCAACGAGUGGAUGGAUCCCCGUUAAUCUAGACCACGAUCUAUUAGGCCUCAAGCUCAUCGAUGGGUGGGGUCCAAAACAUCUAGGACAAACAAAGACUAAGGUCAUGCCCAAACAUUAAUUGCCAAGAUCCAAGUCUCACGAACUCCGACUAGGGAUUAGGCACGAGACAUAACGCGUGCGGGGUUUCAUAGCUCAUCACUUAUUCAAUUGUUACAUGUAUUAAUGUAAUAAUUUAUAUAGUACUCCUUCCGUCCUAAACGAAAUGUCCUGUUUUUCUUUUUGGGUUGUCCCAAACGAAAUGUCCUGUUUUCUUUUUUGGCAAUAGAUACACUCUCUCUCUAUACUUAAUAUUUAAAUAAUUUCCACCAACCCACUUUAUCUAAUUUAUAUACAUUUCUUAAUCUUCGUGCCGAAAAGAAAUAGGACAUUUCGUUUGGGACGGAGGGAGUACAUGAUUAAUUAAUGCUAAUUAAUCGAUGUUUAAUAAACAUGAACUAAUCUUUAAUGUUUAUCACUUUAUCCCACGACUCUAUAUUUUAACUAAUUAAUUUUAAUUAAUUAUAUCUAACUCACCAGAAAUCGAUUUUAAAACUAAUCAAAUGUCUUAUUAGUCGAAAUAAUUGACCCAACAUUAAUCUUCUCAAAAGUAAUUUUCCAACAUAUAGAUUAAAAAAUAAAUAAAUUGAUUAUUUUAGUUUUUUAUGGUUAUUUUGAAAAUAAGAAAAAUAUUUGAAAAUGUUGAAAAAGUAAGGGUUAAUUGCCCUUAAAUACAGCACAUUUUCUUGAAUUCUACAAUUACACAUCACCUUUAAAAUCCGCCCCUAAAUACACCACUUUUUCUUGAAUUCUACAAUUGCAUAUCACCUUUAAAUCCGCCCCAAAAUACAUCACCUUUAUAUUUUUUCUGUUUUUGCACAUGACUAAAAAAUCCUCAAGAAAUAAAUUAAAGUGUUAAUUUAUAAAUUUAAAUAUCUUUUUAGCAGCGAAAAUAUAAUAAAAUAAAAUUCUUUAUUUAUUUUUAUAAAGAACUUUAUUUUAUUAUAUUUCCGCUUUAAAUUUAUAUUUAACACUUUAGUUAGAUUAGGGUGUUACCACUUUAAAUGACGUGGCUUCCAUAUUGGCAAAAUUGUGUCGUUUUGAAUGUUAUGAUCAGAUUGUUUGCUGGUGUUUCCACUUCAUAUUCCCUUUUCUUUAUGUUACCAUGUUGGAUGGGUUCAAAUCCUUUAUUGGCUCUGCUGUUAUAGCUACUGAAUUUAUCGAUAUUUCUGUUGGAGAUUAACUAAUUAGCUGCAUCAGUAAAUGGGCAUCUGUAUGGUGUAAGCUAAAAACUUUCGCUGCAUUAAUCACCACAAUUUUAAUCUAAUCCUUUAUUGUUGCAUUUGUGUUUUGAUUAUAAUUUAUGAAAUGACGGUGUAAGUUUGAAUCUCUUGAGGAUUACCAAGUGAAGAUGGAAUGAAUGUGUUUGAUCCCCACCCUUUUUUUAGUUUCUAAUUAAUCUUAUCUUUUGGACUUUUGGUUGCUUACCUCAAUUCAAGAUGUGGGAAUGUUUCAUAUUCAUAUGCUUUUAUUUACAUUUCUGAGUUAAUUUACAGCCAACUAAAGAAGUUGUUUUGUUAAGCAAUCGAAAGUAUUUGUUCUGAUCUUUACUGGGGUGGGAACAGGGGGGGUUUUAGAGCAUGUCGUUAAUAAUUGUAAUGAGUCUGGAACAGGCGUUUUGAAAUUAUAAGUGGACUUCAUGGUCUAUAUUUGUGCUGUAGAAACUAUAUUUGUUACAUGCUUCUCAGAAAUAUAGAUCCUUCAAACGAGCUUUGCAAUGGCACAAGGAUGAUAGUCACCAAACUUGGGAAGGUUAAUUACCAGUGUAAUCCUCAAUAAUCCAAUUAUGACAUGACGUUUUUGGCUAUUGUGGGAGCCUCUCUCUAGGUCAACACCCAGUACAACUACGAGAGAUCAACGAGUGGAUGGAUCCCCGUUAAUCUAGACCACGAUCUAUUAGGCCUCAAGCUCAUCGAUGGGUGGGGUCCAAAACAUCUAGGACAAACAAAGACUAAG
rnacentral:lncRNA from 1 species